rnacentral:rRNA from 1 species
GAUGAACGCUGGCGGCGUGCUUAACACAUGCAAGUCGAACGGAAAGGCCCAAGCUUGCUUGGGUACUCGAGUGGCGAACGGGUGAGUAACACGUGGGUGAUCUGCCCUGCACUUCGGGAUAAGCCUGGGAAACUGGGUCUAAUACCGGAUAGGACCACUUCUUGGAUGUUGUGGUGGAAAGUUUUUUCGGUGUGGGAUGAGCUCGCGGCCUAUCAGCUUGUUGGUGGGGUAAUGGCCUACCAAGGCGUCGACGGGUAGCCGGCCUGAGAGGGUGUACGGCCACAUUGGGACUGAGAUACGGCCCAGACUCCUACGGGAGGCAGCAGUGGGGAAGAUUGCACAAUGGGCGCAAGCCUGAUGCAGCGACGCCGCGUGGGGGAUGACGGCCUUCGGGUUGUAAACUCCUUGCGCUAGGGACGAAGCGUUUUGUGACGGUACCUGGAGAAGAAGCACCGGCUAACUACGUG